rnacentral:rRNA from 1 species
CAGCCGCCGCGGGAAUACGAAGGGUGCAAGCGUUAAUCGGAAUUACUGGGCGUAAAGCGUGCGUAGGCGGUUUGUUAAGUCUGCUGUGAAAUCCCCGGGCUCAACCCGGGAAUGGCAGUGGAUACUGGCAAGCUAGAGUGUGUCAGAGGAUGGUGGAAUUCCCGGUGUAGCAGUGAAAUGCGUAGAGAUCGGAAGGAACAUCUGUGGCGAAGGCGACUAUCUGGGCCAACACUGACACUGAGGCACGAAAGCGUGGGGAGCAAACAGGAUUAGAUACCCCGGUAGUCCCUGUCUCUUAUAC